rfam:Picea glauca, whole genome shotgun sequence.
ACAUGCCUACGACAUAGCCUUAAUGCACCAGAUUCCAUUAUAACUCUAUAGUUAAGCGCGCUCAAUCUAGAGUAGUACUGAGAUGGGUGACCGCCCAGGAAGUCCUAGUGUUUUACAUGCC